AAAGAAACCCGAAAUUUUGGUCCAUCACUUCCGGUUGGCUUAAAAAUUGUCUCCGGAGAGAUGCUCGAUUCAUAUCUAACAAGUCAUAUAAGCCGAGAACCUAUCGUGGACUUUAAAUUGGUACGAAUCAGGUUAAAAUCGCGACAGAUAAAUUGAUAGCCGGCUAGUCACCGCAUAAAAUCUUAAAACCGAAAGUAAACC
rnacentral:lncRNA from 1 species